rnacentral:rRNA from 1 species
ACUUUCAACAACGGAUCUCUUGGCUCUCGCAUCGAUGAAGAACGUAGCGAAGUGCGAUAAGUAGUGUGAAUUGCAGAAUUCCGUGAAUCAUCGAAUCUUUGAACGCAAAUUGCACUCUCUGGUAACCCGGGGAGUAUGCCUGUUUGAGGGUCAGU